rnacentral:rRNA from 1 species
UACGUAGGGGGCUAGCGUUGUCCGGAAUCAUUGGGCGUAAAGCGCGUGUAGGCGGCUUGGCAAGUCGGUUGUGAAAGCCCGGGGCCCAACCCCGGAACUGCAUCUGAAACUGCCUGGCUAGAGUCCCGGAGAGGAAGGCAGAAUUCCCGGUGUAGGGGUGAAAUCCGUAGAUAUCGGGAGGAAUACCAGCGGCGAAGGCGGCCUUCUGGACGGUGACUGACGCUGAGACGCGAAAGCGUGGGGAGCAAACAGG